rnacentral:rRNA from 3 species
ACGAACGCUGGCGGCAGGCUUAACACAUGCAAGUCGAGCGCCCCGCAAGGGGAGCGGCAGACGGGUGAGUAACGCGUGGGAAUUUACCCAGUGGUACGGAACAACCCAGGGAAACUUGGGCUAAUACCGUAUAAGUCCUUCGGGAGAAAGAUUUAUCGCCAUUGGAUGAGCCCGCGUCGGAUUAGCUAGUUGGUGGGGUAACGGCCUACCAAGGCGACGAUCCGUAGCUGGUCUGAGAGGAUGAUCAGCCACACUGGGACUGAGACACGGCCCAGACUCCUACGGGAGGCAGCAGUGGGGAAUAUUGGACAAUGGGCGCAAGCCUGAUCCAGCCAUGCCGCGUGAGUGAUGAAGGCCUUAGGGUUGUAAAGCUCUUUCGGCGGGGAAGAUAAUGACGGUACCCGCAGAAGAAGCCCCGGCUAACUUCGUGCCAGCAGCCGCGGUC